rnacentral:rRNA from 1 species
UACAGAGGGUGCGAGCGUUGUCCGGAAUCACUGGGCGUAAAGGGCGCGUAGGUGGCGCUCCAAGUCCAUGGUGAAAGCUCGAUGCUCAACAUCGAGUCGGCCACGGAUACUGGAGGGCUGGAGCACUGUAGGGGCAGAUGGGAUUCCGGGUGUAGCGGUGGAAUGCGUAGAGAUCCGGAAGAACACCGGUGGCGAAGGCGGUCUGCUGGGCAGUUGCUGACACUGAGGCGCGACAGCGUGGGGAGCAAACAGG